CCCCAGGAACCGCGAGGUUGCGAGCAGGAGCGGAGAGAGGGUGAGUGCUGGCAGCGGGGAAGGGGGUGGCGGCCGCAGAGGCCGAGGAGGCUCCGGUCCGGCCGCCUCUGCGGACCCCCGCCUCUGUGUGUGUCACGGUCUCUAUGGAGAUCUCCCGCAGAGGACAGCACGAACAGUUCCCCGCGGUGCUGAGGCCUAACUCGACCGCCGACUGGUGGGAGUUCUUCCGUCGCCCUAGCCGUAGCUGCCGCAGUUGAAGCCGCUGGCGACGCCCGCCUACCCCUCCCCUGUGCGCACAGCGCCCGCCCCGCCGCCGUCGUCGUCGUCGUCCCUGCAGCCUCCGCCGCCGUUGCGCCUAUUACCCCUGCUAAGGCGGCUGCCGCGGUCGCGAGCCAGAAUGUCGUCACUCAUCGGCGCCCGACGCAUUUGCAUCAUCAUGCUGCGACGAGCUGAUAGGCAAAGAGGAAGGGCUGGUCGAGUCCACGCUCUCGGCCGCGCGGCACGCUGGGAAACGUAGUUCAACAACGGAACGCGGCUUCUCGGAAAGGAAGAGGGACGGGGAAGGAGAUCUCCGGGGCGCCGCAGAGGCACAAAGCCAAGGGACACACGGGGCUGGAAUUCUGGUUCUGCCACCCAACCUAUUUGACCUUGGAUGAAUCAAAACCGUCUGAGCCUUAGCUUCCUCCUCCAUAAAAUGGGAGCUUUAAAAUCCACCUUAUAAAGCUGUUGUGAGGAGCAGACGUGAUCAUCUAUGGAGAGCAUGUAUAUUUGCUAAUAGACGAAAAAUGCGAUGAAUGAUUACAAUUAUAACCCAUGCAGUCAGCUAACAUUAGGGCGCCUAAAGAAACUAUGCUAUACCAAGCAUAGGUGUACACAUCAAUGGCUUUCAGUGGCACCUCUGACCAUAACCAUCAAGAUCAAGACAAGUUGCCAAAUAUGAUAAACAAAAUUAAUCUAUUUUCCGCUGUCUCAUCCUAGCUUCAUGCCUCCUCCCACCACUAACUUCCCACUAAAUUCUCCAGGCACUCCUUGCCAUUUCCUGUUGCUACCAUACUUUAUUAUUUUAAAGUGUAUUCCUGGUCAGGCAUGUGGCUCACACCCAUAAUCUCAGCACUUUGGGAAGCCAA
rnacentral:lncRNA from 1 species